UUACGGGAACAUUUAAGAGCUGAAUUAUCUCUCCUAGUUUGGCAUGUCCAAUGGUCCAGCAAUCUCGAGAUUAUGCAAUCUCAUAGCUAAUGAUCCAGCUUUUCAACAUUCAUCUAUAUAAACAACCAGAGCCCUGAGAAUCCAGGUAAGUUCAAUCGAAUCCCUCUCAGAGAAUCCGUUGUUGAUUUUUUGUUUUCUAUUU
rnacentral:lncRNA from 1 species